rnacentral:snRNA from 1 species
GUCAUGUCCACUGAACAACCC